GCCAUCUUAGCUCAGUUGGCAGAGUGCGUGACUUGUAAUCUCGAGGUCUUCGGUUCGAUUCCGGAAGAUGGCU
rnacentral:tRNA from 1 species